rnacentral:rRNA from 1 species
UAGGGAAUCUUCCACAAUGGACGCAAGUCUGAUGGAGCAACGCCGCGUGAGUGAAGAAGGCUUUCGGGUCGUAAAACUCUGUUAUUGAAGAAGAACGUGUGUGACAGUAACUGGUCAUGCAGUGACGGUAUUCAAUCAGAAAGUCACGGCUAACUACGUGCCAGCAGCCGCGGUAUACGUAGGUGGCAAGCGUUGUCCGGAUUUAUUGGGCGUAAAGCGAGUGCAGGCGGUCUUUUAAGUCUGAUGUGAAAGCCUUCGGCUUAACCGAAGAAGGGCAUCGGAAACUGGGAGACUUGAGUGCAGAAGAGGAGAGUGGAACUCCAUGUGUAGCGGUGAAAUGCGUAGAUAUAUGGAAGAACACCAGUGGCGAAGGCGGCUCUCUGGUCUGUAACUGACGCUGAGGCUCGAAAGCGUGGGUAGCAAACAGGAUUAGAUACCCUGGUAGUCCACGCCGUAAAACGAUGAA